rnacentral:tRNA from 1 species
GUGUCCAUAGCUCAGUUGGUUAGAGCGUCCGGUUGUGGUCCGGAAGGUCGCCGGUUCGAAUCCGGUUGGACACCCCA